rnacentral:rRNA from 1 species
AUUGAACGCUGGCGGCAUGCCUUACACAUGCAAGUCGAACGGCAGCACGGGAGCAAUCCUGGUGGCGAGUGGCGAACGGGUGAGUAAUAUAUCGGAACGUGCCCAGUGAUGGGGGAUAGCCCGGCGAAAGCCGGAUUAAUACCGCAUACGACCUACGGGUGAAAGCAGGGGAUCGCAAGACCUUGCGUCAUUGGAGCGGCCGAUAUCAGAUUAGCUUGUUGGUGGGGUAAAAGCCUACCAAGGCGACGAUCUGUAGCUGGUCUGAGAGGACGACCAGCCACACUGGGACUGAGACACGGCCCAGACUCCUACGGGAGGCAGCAGUGGGGAAUUUUGGACAAUGGGCGCAAGCCUGAUCCAGCCAUGCCGCGUGCGGGAAGAAGGC